GGGCCCGCACAAGCGGUGGAGUAUGUGGUUUAAUUCGAUGCAACGCGAAGAACCUUACCUGGGUUUGACAUCCCACUAAGAUCGGGUAAUGCCGAUUGUGCCCUUCGGGGAAAGUGGUGACAGGUGCUGCAUGGCUGUCGUCAGCUCGUGUCGUGAGAUGUUCGGUUAAGUCCGGCAACGAGCGCAACCCUUGUCCUUAGUUGCCAGCAGUUCGGCUGGGCACUCUAAGGAGACUGCCGGUGUGAAACCGGAGGAAGGUGGGGAUGACGUCAAGUCCUCAUGGCCCUUAUGCCCAGGGCUACACACGUGCUACAAUGGGCGGUACAAAGGGUUGCGAAGCCGCGAGAUAAAGCUAAUCCCAAAAAACCAUCUCAGUUCGGAUUGGACUCUGCAACUCGAGUCCAUGAAGUUGGAAUCGCUAGUAAUCG
rnacentral:rRNA from 1 species